UACGUAGGGGGCAAGCGUUGUCCGGAAUCAUUGGGCGUAAAGCGCGUGUAGGCGGUUCGGUAAGUCCGCUGUGAAAGUCGGGGGCUCAACCCUCGGAUGCCGGUGGAUACUGUCGGACUAGAGUACGGAAGAGGCGAGUGGAAUUCCUGGUGUAGCGGUGAAAUGCGCAGAUAUCAGGAGGAACACCAAUUGCGAAGGCAGCUCGCUGGGACGUUACUGACGCUGAGACGCGAAAGCGUGGGGAGCAAACAGG
rnacentral:rRNA from 1 species